ACCGCUGCAUUUUUUUGCGGGGAACCGCUGCAACUCGGCAAGUCGAAUGACCUCGCCGCUGUUUCAAGCGGAGCCAAUCAGCGGCAAGCCUGCUGGUGGUGGUGGCAAGCUAACGACGACGCUCGAUGUUGCAAAGAGGUGAACCAUCGAUGCUUCAUGGCAGAGCCGUCAUGGUGCCUCAAAGGACCAGGCGCUUCAAUGCAGCGAGGGCGUUGCCGACCAGUGUUGUAGAGCAUCG
rnacentral:lncRNA from 1 species